rnacentral:rRNA from 1 species
GAUGAACGCUGGCGGCGUGCCUAAUACAUGCAAGUCGAGCGAACGGACGAGAAGCUUGCUUCUCUGAUGUUAGCGGCGGACGGGUGAGUAACACGUGGAUAACCUACCUAUAAGACUGGGAUAACUUCGGGAAACCGGAGCUAAUACCGGAUAAUAUUUUGAACCGCAUGGUUCAAAAGUGAAAGACGGUCUUGCUGUCACUUAUAGAUGGAUCCGCUCUGCAUUAGCUAGUUGGUAAGGUAACGGCUUACCAAGGCAACGAUGCAUAGCCGACCUGAGAGGGUGUUCGCCCACACGGGAACUGAGACACGGUCCAGACUCCUACGGGAGGCAGCAGUAGGGAAUCUUCCGCAAUGGGCGAAAGCCUGACGGAGCAACGCCGCGUGAGUGAUGAAGGUCUUCGGAUCUUAAAACUCUGUUAUUAGGGAAGAACAUAUGUGUAAGUAAAUGUGCACAUAUUGACGGUACCUAAUCAGAAAGCCACGGCUAACUACGUG